UCAAGGACGUUACAUCAGAAGGACUGUGGACGUAGUUAACACCCCGCUGCGCCCAUUGUUUCGCCGUGCGAAAUCCCGCUGCCUUUCUUUGUGCCCGCCCCGCCGCGGUAUUUCUUUGUAUAGAACGUCCGGUGCGGGUUUUCGCGGGGUUUUGCUGGAAAUUACAUAUUAAUGAGCAACGCUAUGACGUCAGAUAGCCCGAGCCGUCCCGAGGACUCGCUCGGAAUCCAGCUGUUUUCCGACUAUUUCCUUAUUUGGGGAGCGUUUCUGUCAUGCGCAGAAGUCUGCAUCUUUUAGAGAAAGAAAUGGCGGACAUUUUGGUGUUUAUCUGAUCGUCGUAGGACAAUCAUGGGUCGCAAACUGCUGGGGAAGGGAAGGCCACUCAAUCGACGUCAUAGAGCAUACAGCUUUGCCGAAAAGGCCAUAUAGUCUGAAUAAAAAAAUUCACGCAACUGAA